GCUGUGACAUAAUGGAGCUCGCUGUUAGCCAUUUUCAAACCCCACAUCCCUGACCCACCUUCUAUGAGAUCUGCACCCCUUGCACUGGAAUCUGCCAUCCACAUUUUCAUCUCAAUAACAUUCUCUCUUCUCUCUGCUGAAAAUAGUCUUCACUGCCUUCUCCAUGUUUCUGGCUCCCUUUCUUCAGACUCUUAAGAAAUUGCUCUUGUCAACCCCACUCUGGCCCUUUAGUCUUUAACUUGAUGCACAAGUUCUGUGUGCCCAGGGAUCUUAUAAACUUCUAAAGGGCAAGACAGGGAUUGUGUCUACACUACUGAGGGACAGACAUGUGUCUUAACACAUUCCUGCAGCCCAGCAGUGAUCAUGCAUGCAGGAGUUGUGCUGUCUUAUUCCAUAUGGGGUCUGCAGUGUGUUCUAGGAGUCAGUUACAUAAUUCAGUGAAUGACUUAGAAGAAAGAGAGGAAAGGAAGGAAAAUUUGUAAAACUGACCAUUUCAAGUUCCUCAUAGGUCAGGUUUUUAAAAUGUCAGGCCGGACAUUUUGUUUCUACUUUAAAAAAAAAAAACUGGAGAAGCUGAAGAUACUACUAGUAUGAACGUAUGUUGAGUCAUCUCAGUGACUGUAAAUUAACUGCAGAUCUCGAUUGCCUUUCUUAAGUGCAUAGUUGUCUCUAGAAAAGCAAAGGCAAGUUAGUUGGGGUGUCAAUGGAGGCUUUCCACACCUUCCUAUUUUCCCUUGAAACACAAGGUUGUUAUUUAAGCUGGACUAUAGGAAUUGGCUUCCUAGGUUGUUGACCUACAGGGUCUACCAGAGGGCCUGAUGUUAUUAUGUAAGCCACAAUUUAGAAGGCCAGGUACCUUCAAACCUUCCUGUAGGUUUCGUUCAGAUCUGGUGUUGACCAGAGGAAGUGGGGAGCUAAUAGUGGGAUUGCGUGGUACAGUGGAACACACUAGGAAGUCAGCCUACCUUCCCAAGUGCUCUAAGCUCAUUUGGUUCCCCUCUACUUUACUCUUUGCAUCUGCCAAACAAAGCAGCAAACUCCAUUUCCCCUCUAUGGAAAAUAUGGCUGGUUGAGCCAUACAGUGUGAUAGAGCUUGCCUAUGUUGUCUGUCAGGGCUGUCAUGGAGCACAAAAGGUGGCUCAGUGUUCUGUUAACUUGACUGGUUCAUUGGGUUCCAGUGGUUGAGUUUGGUGGAUGCCCUGUUGUGGUUUCACCUCAGAAGGAGUUUGCAGGUUGGUAGCUUCCUAAGACCUAGGAAGCUGCUAGGAUGCAGUACAGCCCUUCAGUACCCUGGAGUUCUGCAGAUGUAGGUCCAGCCAGUGCCAUACUUACAAUGGGAUUCUAGCUGAGCAUGGUGCCACACACCUUCCAUUCCCAGCAUUUGAGAAGCAGCGUUAGGAAGGUUGAGAACCACUGCUCUAAGCAGUGCCGUACGGUUGACUGUUUACGCAGCGUUUGUGCGCUCUCAAGUAUGGCAAACCAUCUAGCUCUGAUUUCUAGUAUGCAGGAAGAAAAACUUAAAUCAUAUGCAGAUUUACCAUCUAUAAUAAGAAACUUGCUCAUCUCAGAUUUUCAUGUCUGAGGGAGGGAUCUUGAACCCAUCCCCCAUGGAUACUGAGAGCUGACUAUUUGUCAUCUGCCGUUUUAUGGAAAUGACUCUUCAGAUGAUAAUGCAUUCAUAAUUUCAUGUGGAUGACUUGACAAUGUUUCUGUAUUUUCAAUGUCCCAUUGAUAAAUGUAGUCUAACCCCCCCCCAAAAAAUUAUGGAGAUAUUAAGAAGGUAGGCCCCGCCCCACACCUUUCAGUUCCAAAAGUAUCCUCGGGGCAAUUACAAGCUGUUAGGAGUAUCACACACUAGUAACACGGCGGAUACCCAAGCUUACAGCACAGAAGUCAUUAAUCAUGCCUGCUCUUGACAGGGAGACUGUUUUCUAGGUUUUAAAAAAGAAAAUCUUAAAAGCUUAUGCUGUUUUGUUUGUUUGUUUUUUUUAUUAAGGAGUAAUUUGGAGCCAGUAACUUAACCUGUUUUUCAUAAAUGUGCUAGCUAGAGGCAGCCAAAAAAAACAAAACAACAAAUCUCUGCUUUCAGAGUUAGGGUCCUUAUAUGAACUUCUGUGUAGGAUCAUGAUAACUCUAGUAACUGCCUGAGUUAGUCUUUCUGAGUUUAGUACAGACCCUGAUAUAGGAUUUGAUUUACAUGGCCCAGCCCUGCUCUUCUGAAGUCUUCUAAUUAAAACCUGUCACCAUACUUACUGUUCAACCUGUCCCCAAGAAACAAACCAUUUGUUUCCUUUGCAUAUCAUGGUUUUGUGUUUGAGUCGUGCGUUUAGAGCUCGAGACUUUGCCUUUGAAAAGAGUGUAUAUAGCCUCAACUCCUAUCUUUGUAUCCCCACUAUCACUACAAUCCCUGGCACACAGUAGGACCUCAGAAAUAUUUAUGGUAGAAAUAUCCAGAGGAAUCACUCUGGCUGCUCUUGACAGUUAUCACCUGUGUCUAAGGCGAAAUGCUCUUAGGAAAAUGGAAGCCAUCAAACACUUCAGCUUCAAUAAUGUGCUUUUUCCUGUUUAUGAGAGUUUUCUCAUCAAAGAAUCAUGUUCCAGCUAAAACAAAACAACUCUUGUCUUUACGCUUACUUCAGCUUUAUUUUCUCUUACUCAGCAUUUUAACUCCACCAGAAUUGAUAUAUCGGUUCAAUAAGACUUGAGCCGUCUGGGGACCAAUUGUGUAGGAAAGACAUGGAACUCUUUAGGUUACCAGAAAUCCCAGGAGUUAGAGUCUCUUUCUCCAUUGUGGAUUCAUGUGACUGCUCAAAGAGAGGAGGCCUCACCAAAUGAACCAUUUACCUAAGGGCCCUUUGCCCUUUAAACUGAAAGGGUUUUAGUUGGAGAUGGUAUUUGGGGCACCCCAUAAGGUAGCUGGUAUAAACCUAGCAGUUAAGAAGGAGUCAACCUCUACUUCUGCACACAUGCAUUUACUUGGGCUCAAUCUGCUAAUGAUGGUUUGGGUUGAGAAUUUGGUUCAGAGGUUAGAGGUCAUGACCGUCUAGAUACCCAGAUACUUGCCUGUGUUUAUGAGGGACAGGAUUGAUCUGUUCACCAGGUUUAUAUUGAUCUAAAAAUCACAUCCUGUGUUACAAUAACUGCAGACAUUUUAGAUGGCCAGGAGGAGAGACCACGCCGCACACUGACUGAGCUGCCAGGGAAGAGCAGCGUAGUAACUGGUAGGCUGAUAGGGCAGGACCCGACAAGUAGCCAGCCUUCCCCACUCUGGAGACUAUACACACCCCAUGCACCCCAGUUCUGACUUGGAGCUAUUAUUCUACCGAGCCCAUUGGAACAUUUUCCAAGUAGUUUUUCAGUUUGGCAAUAAGAUAGGUAGGAACCCAUCCAUAGCUGAUACAAGCAAAGUGUGAGUACACAUCUUUUUUUCAUUACUGCACUUUCUACAGAAGGCUUGGAGGAUGGGGAAAGGGAUGAUUUUAAGGAACAAUUUUCUCUUUAAUGAUUUCUUUCUCCGUACAAAGGAAAAGGACUGAAGGUGUAGGGUCAGUGAAAGCCAGGCAAACACAAGAAGUUCACGUAAGUUCAGUCCACAGCCCCGUUGAGAGAGAGAGAGAAACAGAGAAUAUGAAUUUCUAUACCGAGGAAGGACCCAAACAACCAAGAGUAAAUGUUUUGCAACUUAAGGAAGUUAAGUUUAGGGAACAGGAUGAUCAAAGAGCCGGAACAGUCGCAGUCCCUGUAGACGAGAUGUUGCCGUACUCUGUAGACAGAAGAAGUCUAGAGCAAGUCUGAGCAGCUUCAGACCUGGCUGCUUUCUGGAAAGAAAGCUGUUCCACAAAACCUCUGGAACCAGCUCCUAUAGAGCAAAGGAUGACAUCAUUCCUUAGGACGCUAAAAGUUGGUUCCAACUACAUCUUCUAGAGAACCACACAGCUGUGUUGUCAAGGGUGGUGCACAAAUGGGGGGAGUGUGUGAUGUGGACCUUUGUGGAAGAAUAAUGUGUUUAUAAAUUUGAAGUUUGUUCUCUGUCUCUCUCUGUCUAUCUGUCUGUCUCUCUCUCUUUCUCUCUCUAAUCUCCAAUGACAUUGUGACUUCACUCAUCUUCUGUCUCACCUGAGUAACAUCCGAUUCCCCAAAAGUUAUGAAGACAUGGAGGGAGCAAAAUCGGAAGAGCUGUAACACAAGCCAGCUCUGUAGUAUAAUGACCCUACUUACCAGGGACAAAGUGACAAAGCAAACUAAAGAGUAAGCCAGCCUCCCAGGCUCUCUGCUUCCUCCUCAGCUUCAU
rnacentral:lncRNA from 1 species